UUUGACCUCAAAUCAGGUAGGACUACCCGCUGAACUUAAGCAUAUCAAUAAGCGGAGGAAAAGAAACUAACAAGGAUUCCCCUAGUAACUGCGAGUGAAGCGGGAAAAGCUCAAAUUUAAAAUCUGGCGGUUCUUGUAGCCGUCCGAGUUGUAAUUUAGAGAA
rnacentral:rRNA from 1 species